CAUAAGAUGCAUAGUACUAGAGUAAGCAAGCGAGCACAUGUGAACUCGGCAUAAAAGGCAAGCCAAGCAUAUAACCAACAAAACCACCAAAAAGCUGAAACGUCAAACAUACGGCCAAGUAACCAAUCAGCAGGAAAUGAAAUGAAUAGUAAACAGUAAAGAGUAUUUAACAUUUAGUACCAACACACAAUACAAUUAGGUAGUUUAAAAUAAGUUCAAGAUGAACUAGAAAUUAAAAUGAAAAUGAAUGUAAACCAAGAAUGUAAAGAAUGUAAGUAAAGAAAAGAUUAUAGACAACAGAUAGCAAAUACCAGUCAUAAGAGAUGAGGUAAACACAAACGCUGAUAAUUAUUGUCAGCAGUAAAGGGCAAUAAAACAUAACCAGAAACAACAGAUUCUGAUGCAGAGUAGACACACGCAUCACCACAUUGAAGAGACAAGAUCACCAUGAAGAAAGAAAGGAUAAUAAGAUAAUAAGAAUUGAACUGAGAGCUCAUAUGAAGUGCUCGAGUCAGCGAAGCUGGGAAUCCCUCCUGCGAGGCCCAGCUACCCAAGACAACCAAGAUAGUAUAAAUUAAAGUCCAUCAAGAUUGUGAUCAGACUGUGCUACGUGUGACCAACAACCCUGCAAUGAACAAAUGUGCUUAGAAGACGAGCUACAUAAAACUUGAGCAGGCCCAUUAAUGGUGCUAACGCCAAUCGUAUACAAUACAUAAUAUAUUCCUAUCCUGUCAAUUAAUGGGAAAAGCACCAUCUUCAAAAGGGGAAGAUCGGCUAAAAAUAAAAGCAGAAAGAAGAAAGAAGAAAUAGAUGGAACGUUACCCACAACCGUGACCUCAAACUUGAUUAACAAGCAAAGAUGGUGAAGAAACAAUCAAAUCAUCACAUGCAGGCAA